GCACAGAGCAUCAUUCUGAUCAGGCAGCUCAAUAAUGAAGUGUGGAUCUCCAUCAACUGCCAAACCCAAAGAACAAGAGACAAACAUAAGAAACAGAUGGAGUUACCAUUGACAAGCAUUAUACGACUGACAGACCGCAACGGUUGGAGUUAAAAAUCAUCAUUUGUGUUCUACUGAAGAAACAAAGUCACCUACAUCUUGGAUGCCCUGGGGUUGCUGUUGAAAUUUAGUGAGUAGCAGCUGGCAUCAUCUCCAGGAGGCAGCCGGUGAUUCUCAAGUGAUGCUCAAUACAGUUUGGUGCCCCCCACUUUGAAAAUGUCUCCUGCACCCCUGAUGUCAUCCAGGUCUUUCAUGCAUACAGAAAAUGUAUACUGUGCACAGUAUGCAUACUAAAUACUGCAGAAACAGUAUGAGUGGUAUGAUAUUCUGAGCAUAGCCUAAGUUUCUUGUCUUUACCAACAAUCGUACGGUGUGUUCACACUUGUAGUUUGGUCCAGACCAAAAAAGAAUAUGAUUUAGUUUAGUCCUAGUUUGCUUAGUGUUCACACUGUCAUUUUUAAGACCGAACCUAAAGAUACAAAACAAAAA